ACGUUGCGUUAAUGCGUUUACAGUUUACACCCUCACCCCUUCCCCCAACAACCCCCCUACCAAUUCGUGAAUCACUGUACUCUGAAGCAAAGUUAAAUCCCCAAACCAAAACCCUAGGUCCUCCCUGCAACAUUUCUGCCGCACUGCUGCCGCCGUCCGUGCUGUCGGCAUCGUCUGUGGCCAAGCCCUCUCUUGUAGCUCAGCGUCCUCCUUCCCCCUGUCCUCCGUCCGUCCUCCGUGGCUUCUCUGUUUUGUUGGCUUGGAGCAGCUCGCCGUGUCGUCGCUCGCCGUCGUCUCCCCGAUCGCCGUUCGUGUCUCCGUCGAAGCUAUGAAGUUUUGCUCACAUUGGAUAAGGAAAAGCACAAAGUGGAGGGUCGAAAAUAUUAUUAUGUGUUCAACAGUCUUCUAUAUUGCUUGCUUGUUCUGCAUAUAUACUGGUGGGUGAUGAUAUCUCGGAUGCUUGUUAGACAACUUCAAGCAAGAGGAAAAAUUAGUGAUGAUGUUCGAUCUGAUUCAGAAGAUGAAGAUAGCCAUAAGAUUGAGAUGGAAAGCAAGACCAUAAUGUAAUCUUAAGGCAAAGAUGAAUUGUCUUAGCUUCGAAAUUCUUCGGUACUCUUGACCAGGGAUGCUAAACUUUCCAAAUGUUGAUUCAACUUUUUUGAAUGUAUUAAACUAUUGGUCUAUGCAUUCCACCUCCUCGGAUUGAGGUUUGGUGUCCGACAUUUUGUUGUGAUGAUAAUGUCUUUUUUUUUACGUGCUUUGGUAUUUAAUUUCAUCAAUUUAAUUAAGUGUAAAGCACUAGGAACAGGAAUGUUUUCUGGUUAUUUAUUGAAAAGACUUGUUUUAAGA